UACGGAGGGUGCGAGCGUUGUCCGGAAUCACUGGGCGUAAAGGGCGCGUAGGCGGCCUGAUAAGUAGGGGGUGAAAUCCUGCGGCUUAACCGCAGGGCUGCCUUCUAGACUGUCAGGCUAGAGCACAGUAGAGGCAGGUGGAAUUCCCGGUGUAGCGGUGGAAUGCGUAGAGAUCGGGAAGAACAUCGGUGGCGAAAGCGCUCUACUGGACGGUGACUGACACUCAGGGACGAAAGCUAGGGGAGCGAAUGGG
rnacentral:rRNA from 1 species